rnacentral:lncRNA from 1 species
UAGACCAUCCUAUCUAGGGGGUAGAUUACAGGAGAAAGAACAUACCCCUGGCACAAAAUUGCUUAAGUUUUACCAGAUCUUUCCAUUCUAAAGGCAAGAAUGUGAACAUUAGUACUGAAUUUCCCCUGGAAAGAGAGCUGACUGUCGCCAAAGAGGGAUUCGCCUCUAGAUGAGGAGGAGGAGGAGGAAGAGUACAAUUGUUUAUCCAUGGAGAGAAUGUGGGAUUAUGUUUGCCAGAAACCAAUAGUACCUGCAUUAGACAGCAGCCUUCUCCUUUAGCGCUGACAAACAGUCCUGUUGGAAUGCUGGGUAUCUGAACAAAGAACGAGAGAAUGCAAGAUUUAUCAAUCAGAUUAACUGUGCAAGUAUAAGCAAAUACAUUAACCGCCUGGCCCCUGUCCAACAUCCAAAUUACACGCAUUUAAACUGACACUGCUAAUCACAAGAUGGAGUGAUGUGCCAAGCAGAUGCUGAAAGGAGGGGCGUAUCAAGUUCAGGCCCUCACUGAAAAUACCUCUCCGACAGUAGAAUGUAAAAAUGUCAAUAGCGUAUGUGGAUGAUUUGCUUUUUUACCACAGCUUUUUGCAGAAUCUUCUUAUUGUCCCACUGGAGCUCAAAUGUUUCUUGGAAAUCCAGAUUAGUGGAAGCCAGAGAUAUGGUGAGAUUGACCCCGCCCACCACUAUGACAGGAUGGCAUAUUCAGACAAGGCUUGCAAUGCCACACAAGUAUCCUGUUUUUGUAAAAAAAAAAAAAUAGAAGACAAUAACUUUGUCAAUUUUAAUAAAGCAUAUUUAGCCUACGCUACAUCUAAUGUACGGUACUCUACUUACUUGUAUCCACCUUUAUUUUUAACGAAAGAGCAGCCGCAUGUAGCUUUUGGUGUCAUCUACUUUCCACUUUUUAAGCAGUACAAAAGCAGUCCGUUGCUGCUUGAGGCUGCUUUAUGCAGAUCAUCGUCAGUGUAAGUAGUCACAGUAGUAAUCAGUACUAAUCAGAUUUCAGCAAUAAUAUAACAGUUACCACCCAUAAAACAGCUAGUUACUUAGUUACUUUUGAUGCCUCAGCCCCUACUGAUUUGAAGUCCAACAAUCCAAUAACUGCUAGAUUUUUUUUCAUAAUUUUCAUGACUUGCACAGGCACAUGAAAUCACCAGGGCAGCAUGCAAGCUUGGAAUAUAAAAAGCUUACUUUCAACAGGUGAAAAUAUUGCAAUUACAUUGAUUUUGUCAGAAGAAAAGAUGAUCUGAACACCAAUGUGAAAGUAGUGGCAUUACUUUACUUGCCCACCCACAUCCCUCUGAUCCUAAUAUAAACUGUAGUACUAUAAUUGUACAUGGGUAACAGAGAAAUUAUAGCUACAGUUAGCUUCAAGCUACACACGACAAUUAAUGAGUUUAAUACAACAGUUUGAAGUCACUAUCAAUCACCACUGAGUGUCCGUAAUAACUUCUGACAGCAAUCUAACGUAGAUUUUGGUCAAAUGAGACCGAAAUAUAUAUUGUUUGUAACAUUUCAGAAGAAUUUUUAGAACUUGAAUAUACAAUUACAACUUCUGUGGGGCAUGAAGGAAAAGUAAUAUAACUAGUACUGUUGCAUGUUGCCACUUACUGUUGCCAGAAAGUUAUAAGUGAAGUAAUAACAUUACUUUUGAAAGGAGAUACUAGUAACAAGUAAUAAAUUACAUUUUUGAGUUACGAGCCCAACACUGAUCAUCAUAAUUAUAAAAAUACUGGUUGUAGCACAAAACAGGUUUAAUUUAAGUUAUUUACCUAUUGCAGCUCAUAAAUCAGUAAUUUUUUUUACGCUGAAGGAAAUAGCUUAUUUUAACAUAAAAAUAAGGUGGAUACUACACAGUGUACACUUAAAAUACACUUAAUAUUUAAAAAAGUAUUCUUGCUUAAAAGCAUCGACAAAACACAUACUUAAAUGUACAUGUGUAAGUCGUCCCCAGUUAUUAUCGAAGGAACGGAAUUGAGUAUUUUUGAUCCAAUCUCUUGCCAAUUAGAUGAAGUAAUGUUUCAAUAACGAGACUUUAAAAUCUGCUAAAUUUUACUUCCUGCUUAUAUGUGAGAACUGCAAAUGAAGGGCUGAAUUGGGAAAAGCAUAUUACUCUCGCUAUUUCUGAGGAUAUGGGAGAAAUAGUAAAAGUAGUAUGCUAUUACAAAUUUAGCUAUUGUCAGGUUGAAUCUGGGAAAUUGUGGGAAACAGGAUUUGAACUUCUUAGCAAAUGUAGUAAGCUGUGUGGGAGGCAGACAGAAAAUUUGCAUAUUACAUGAAGUAGAUAUAGUAUACAAACAUAACAUGAAUUUUUUAUUCAUAAUCAAUCAAGCACUGAAGAACGUAACACAGAUUUGUCACCUGAGUUGAGGAAAAACCACCGAGGGCAUUCCUUUGUUGCGACAACCAUUUCACUACAGGUAGGGCCGAUGCCACAUCGCCCAGAAGUGUGUAGGUGAGUAGACCAUAAGCUGUCAUCUCAACUUCAGCCGACACAACUAAUAAAGCAGAAAAAAGUUUAAUAUAUUGAAUAUUGUUGGCAAGUUGAUUGAUUGAUGACUGAUGGAUACCUGAUUGGGAGAGUCCAUCACUGAAGCCCAUGAACGUGUCUUCAUCAGUUACAGUGCUGCCAGUAAGACUCCAAUGAGUGAAGCCAUCUGCAAAGACAGUUGAACAAUUGGGAUCAAGAACAUGCUAAGCUCAACCAACAACUAUCUUUUAAUACACGUUAAUAAAAGAACCUUGGGUGAUGGCCAUGUGGUUAAGUCGCCGCAGAGCCAAUGGAGCGUAAGGACUACGGAGUAAAGUGAGUGCAUAUGCGGACAGAGCAGUAGUAUAUGGGUCAUCAGCAGAGUAUGUGUUACUCUCCAAAAACACUUUAGCUUUAGCCACAGCAACCUUCUCCUCCUGAAUAAUAAAAAAAAACAUUCAGAGCAGAAUGAGGAGAAUAAAUAGUUUAAUAAGUGUAUUUGAACAUACUUCUAAGUGUUGCUAAGGUGCAGUAUGUUAGCUUUUACACAGCUAGCAGGUGUUUCUUGUGCUAAAGUUCAAAUACCUUCAGUACCAAUCCAUUCCAAUCCUUCAGCUUUUCC